UGAACGCUGGCGGAAUGCUUUACACAUGCAAGUCGAGCGGCAGCGCGGCCUUCGGGCUGGCGGCGAGCGGCGAACGGGUGAGUAAUGCAUCGGAACAUGCCCAGUCGUGGGGGAUAACACUUCGAAAGAAGUGCUAAUACCGCAUACGUCCUGAGGGGGAAAGCGGGGGAUCGCAAGACCUCGCGCGAUUGGAGUGGCCGAUGUCAGAUUAGCUAGUUGGUGGGGUAAAGGCCUACCAAGGCGACGAUCUGUAGCUGGUCUGAGAGGAUGAUCAGCCACACUGGGACUGAGACACGGCCCAGACUCCUACGGGAGGCAGCAGUGGGGAAUUUUGGACAAUGGGGGCAACCCUGAUCCAGCCACUCCGCGUGAGUGAAGAAGGCCUUCGGGUUGUAAAGCUCUUUCGGCAGGAACGAAACGGUGGGCUCUAACAUAGUCCGCUAAUGACGGUACCUGAAGAAGAAGCACCGGCUAACUACGUG
rnacentral:rRNA from 1 species